ensembl:processed_transcript
GGGCUCCCAGUCCCAGCCCACCUCUGCGCCUCACCUGCACCGGUCAGGGGAAUCACGAGGAGCGCGCACGGCCGCCGAGCGGAAAUGCCCAGCUGGGCGGGUGUCGCAACCAAACCGCCCCGGCGGCGCUCCCUUCGGGCGGCCUGCCGCUCCGCCCUCCCCUGCAGCGCCAUGAAGCACACCUGGCCGCGUGCAAACCUCUUUCCACGUGCGGAAGCCGUGCAGAAGCCAGGCAGACUGCUAUCUUCACUUUAUACAAGGGCAAACUGAAUGAUGGACCAAGCAAGACUUGAAUGCAUGAUACACAGUAUUGAAAAUACUACUUGAGAAGACCCAAGGAGAACAUGAGGAGACACAACCUAGUGGUGAAGAGACAUGGCAGCUCACUACACUACUAACAGACAUUUUAGACCAUAUUUAAAUUCUCUCCCAGAUACCAGUUAUACCCAAAGUGGAACAUAAAGCACAGCAAAGCAACACUAACUUCGGAAUAUUCUUACAGCCAAGUACAUGUCCUGUAUUUGUUUUGGAAAACAAGCCAUCUACGUCCUGUCUACAGUUUAGAUGGUUUACUAGUUUUCAAUUCUAUCAAAGUACCACCAAGGUUUUUAAAGGGAUGGUUGUGUAUUUAUAAAGAAGGCAGCAGAAGGCUACUCAGUAGAAAACUUGCCUACCACAUCCAAGGCCCUGGGACUGAUCUCCAAUAUCGUAAGAUAGCACAACAAGGGUAACAGAGCCCACCACCCCACCCCAAACCGGUUGAAUCUGGUCUACUAUGGGCUGAGAAAUCAGAUCUAAUCAUCAGCAUUGUAUUUUAACUAAGAGUCCAUUUCUCUUAGUAUAGACCUGGAAGCAGAUCCUAUGUGUACCUAGCAGUUUCCAGCAUGCUGGAGGGGAGUGUGGCUCAAUGAUGGGCCUCAAAAUAAAUGAGACCUGGUCACACCCCCUCCUCCAUGACUCAACACUAAUUUUCAUCACGUUAUAUUCAGGUAUGUUAGAGGAAACUUUGCUUCUAGAAGGACAUUAGCAUUAUUGUAUGUGCUAGGGCACUGCAUGUGCUCUUGCGGCUAGAAGUCAGGAUCAGAUGUCUUCUUCAAUUGUUAUCCGAUUUAUUUUUUUAAGACGGGGUCGGGGGUUCUCACUGACCUUGGAGCUCAUUAAUUAGGUUAAUCUAGCUGGCUAGUGAGCCCUCAGGGAUCUCCUGUCUCUAUUUCCCAGUGUUAGGGUUGCAUGGUAUCUACCACCGUGCCUGGGCUUUUAUGUGGAUGAGGAGGGUUGGACUUGGGGCCUCAUGCCUACACUGCGAGCAUUUUACGAUUGAGCCAUCUCCCCAGCCUCUAGAAAAAGUUAUUUUUGUUAACAUCAAUUAACCCAGAUUUAUUUUCAUUCUCCCUUCCUCCCUUCCUUCCCCACUCCCUUCUUUCUUUUCCUGGAGUCUCUCUGUGUUAUCCUGAGGGCCUCAAACUCAGAGAUCUGCCUGCUUCUCCCUGCCAAGUGCUGGGACUAAAGCUGGGUACCACCACACCCAGCUUUUCUAUCAUUUAAACUCUAGGACUAACACUGGUCAGCAGCACGCCCUGACUAGCCUGUGGGAAUGACACUGGUCUGCACGCCUUGGUUAGCCUACAGAACAAUGGAUGGUGGAACACCUUCUCAUCAUCUCCUUCUCCUCUGCACCUGUGUUGUCCAGAAGUAUGAUCAUGUUGUUCCACGCCAGGCUGUGCUCCGGCUUCAGUACGGUGGCAUUUCUCCAAGCGUUCAAUGCAUCCACAUGGCGAUUUAGAUCUGCAUACUGAAAAUAAAGACCCGCCCCCACCCCAGAGUCAAUAUUCCAACUCUUCUUCCUUGUUCCCUGUCUAUGAUAUUAUCACAAAGACACACAAAAUCUCUCAGAACAAACAAGAACUACCACCUUACUUCCUAUCAACCUGUGUACUUAAAAGCACAACCUCAAUGAGUAGAUGCCAUCACAAUCCGAGCUUUACAGAAGGAACCAAGACAAGAGGGAAAUGAGUGACUUGCUGGGCCAAACAUCAAGAGAUGGAAGGACAGAGAUAGUGCUAGGUCCUGGGUCUUGAGUCAAGGAACCUUAUAACCUUUUAUGUGCUGACCACAGAUAUGACAUCACACUUCAAGCUACUGAGAAACACUGAUGAUUCUGUUCCAGAAAGGCCCUAGAGUUUAUCUUUGAUUAAGUAUUAUUUAGACCAGUAAAUGAGUAUUUGAUACAAUCAGAAAGGUAUAGUAGACUUGAGAAAUGGCUCAGUGGGUAGCGCUUGCACAUCCCCAGCAAUGGCAUAAAGCCAAGCCUGUUGGCAUACACAUGCAACCCCAGAACUGGGUCGGGGACAGAGACAGGUGGAUCCCAGGAGGUUCACUGGCCAGCGAGCCUAGUUGAAAGGGCAAGGUCUGAAACAGUGAAGACCCUGCCUCAAAACAUAAGGAGAGCCACAGAGGAAGGUACCCAAGGUUGAUCUCUGCCCUCCACAUGCACACACAUAGGCUCAGCUACCCCCACAGAAAUGACUGGGNNGGGAGGGAAGCAAGAGCACACAUGCACUCCAUGUGCCUAAUUUGCUUGUGAAGAAUGGUUUAGAAACCUCUUAUGAAUAUCUAAACUCAAAAUACAAAUAUGAGCCAUUCAGAUAUAUUUUUGCAAACUUUCUUGGAGACCCGUAUAGUCACAUAAGAUUCCCUCAGCAGUCUGGAUCCUCUCAGCUUCUUUGGGGAGCACAUCAUCUUUACUUUCUAUGGACAGGAGAUUUCACUUAACAUCCUUAACAAUAUAAAACAGACAGCUCUAAUCUGCACAGUCAGCAAAAGUCAGAGGGACAAAGUGAUAGAUUCUUUUUUUUUUCCAUUUGUGUGCGUGGUAUGUUUGUGUGCUUGUGUGUGUGUGUUUGCAUGUAUAUGGGUACAUGUGCACAUGUGAGCACCUGCACGUGGUGGCCCAAGGAUGCUAGGAGUUAUCUUCCAUGGCUUUUUCACUUUCUUCACUGAGGCAUGGUCCCUCAACCCAAGAGCUCACUAAAAUGGCUGCUCUCACUAGCCAGUUUUCUCUGGGAACCCCAACUCCAAUGGUCAUCAUGCCCACCUGGUAUUUACAUGGAAUUCUGGGGACCUGAACUCAGGUCCUCAUGUUUGUACAGAAAAUGCUUUAAUUUCCCUACCUUGUGAUAGAUUCUUUAGCAGGAGAUCUGACCCUCUUAAACUCAGGUCAAAGGUACAUUUCAUCUGAAUAUACUCCAUCCCUAAACUCUGCAUGAAGUCCCUAUGACAGGAAUCUAGGGCAGCUUUAGCAUAUUAUUUCUUUCUGCUUAUUAAGCACAUUUUCCACUGGACGACAGAAACAUUUUGUCCUAUGUCCCACACAACAAAUAGGUGAUAUGAGGUCAAAUGAAUUAUGAAAACAUUUACAAACAUCUUUUUGUUAAAGAGAAUUUCUCAAAUUUCUCAUGAGGCUUAGACUGUCAGGUUGCAAUGUUUAGAACCUGAACCCUUUAGAACCAUUAGGAAAUGGUGUAAAAAUUCAAAUAAACAGAGCUGUUUAAAUAUACC